CUUUAAAAGAUAAUCGAGGGACUUCCCUGGUGGUCAAGUGGUUAAGAGUUCGCCUUCCAAUGCAUGGGUGUGGGUUCAAUCCCUGGUCAGGGAGCUAAGAUCCCACAUGCCUUGUGGCCAAAAAACCAAAACAUAAAACAGAAGCAAUAUUGUAACAAUUUCAAUAAAGUCUUUAAAAAUAUUCCACAUCAAAAAGAAAAUCUUAAAAGAAAGAUAAUUGUUUAAACAAAAAUAAUAAUGUACUUCGAGUUUUAUAACAUACAAGAAAGCAAAAUAUAUGACAACAAAAGCAUAAAGUCAGAAGGGGGAGAAAUGGAAGUAUUAUUAUAAGGAUCUUAUAGUAUUCGUGAUGUGUUAUAAUGUCGCUUGAGAGUAGAAUGUGAUAAGGUAAAAAUAUACACUAAAAAGUCUAAAACAACCAUGAAAAUAACAAACAGCUGUAGCUAAUAAGUGAACAGAGGAGAUGCAAUGAAAUCAUAAAAAUUAUUUUCAAAUAUUCCAGAAGGCAGAAAAAGGAAAAAAUGAAGCAAAGAAUAGAUGAGACAUGUAGAAAACAAAUAGCAAGGUGAUAUGCUAAAAUCUGAUCAUAUCAAUAAUCACAUUAAAUGUCUAAAUACCUCAAUUAAAAGGCAGAGAUAGUAAGAAAUUUAAGGUGCAUGGUUUCAGGUGUCGGAGUCACCAAGUAAGACACAGCUCACAUAGGCACUAGAUGGAAUGAUGCUUUACUCACAGAAGAAAGCGAGACCUGCUUUAAUAGCACUGGUUCCCCAUGGUCAGCGGGUCCUGUCCUGCAGCUGACACAGGAAGAUGGUCUGCAUGUGCCCCUCAUUGUGCUGCAGGAGGAGGACCCUGUUCCCUCUCCCCAGGAACAGAUAUAAGCAGUGGGGUUGGCCAGAUGCCACUUAAGCAGAGCAAAGACAUAUACAUCAAACCUGUUAGCAGGGGAAAGAUAUUUGCAAACAAGGUGAUAUGCCCAGCACUAGCUGUGAGGGCUCCUUACCUUCCUGUUAGGAAAUGUUUCAGGCCCCAGGAACACGUUCAUGCAGCUGUGCAGGAGUCAACAGGCUGUGUAUGACCACAUUUCCCAACAUAUUUACUAUCUGACCCUUUACAAAAGUCUGCCCAUCUCUGGGUUAAUGUAAUAUGUACUUCAGCCCAACGAGAGACCAUGAUGACUGCUGAAUUAUUGGGGUAUGAAUUAAUGAGGUCUCCAUGUAUUUCCUAACGUGUACUUUCAAAAUAUCAGAUGCUUAGGUUAAUUAGUUUUUGUCUCCCUGGACCAGGAACCCACUGGGUAAUUGUGGACUGUUAGAUAUGCAUGUGGGCUCAAAGCCAGGUUAGAAUGCAUUUCACUUCCCUGGGUAGGAUCUUUGUGAUGUUGCUCCCCUGGAGGAUUCCCCUUCAAUUAAAUCUGAUGAGUCGACUCGGCAUGCUCUAGGCUAGAGCAAAGAGCCCUGAACUUGGAACCCAGGUGAAGUCCCAACUCCAUCACUGCAGAAUGGAGUGACUUAAGGCAAGUCACUUCACACCUCAGGUUGAGGCUGACUUACCCAGGAGACAAAGUAUUUCCAGAUCUCCCUAGAGAUCUUCAUCGCUGUGCUUAACAUGAACAACUGCACAGAGAGGCAGCACAGGGAGGUUACGGGCACCAGCUCCAGACUCCAAUGAUCUGAGUUUGAGUCCCAGUCUCCCCACUUUUUAAAUUGUAUUCUAUUUUAUUUUAUUUAUGGCUGCGUUGGGUCUUCAUUGCUGCGCGAGGGCUUUCUCUAGUUGCGGCGAGUGGGGGCCGCUCUUCGUUGCGGUGUACAGGCUUCUCAUUGCGGUGGCUUCUCGUUGUGGAGCAUGGGCUCGAGGCGUGCGGGCUCUGUAGUUGUGGGUCGUGGGCUCUAGAGCACAGGCUCAGUAGUUGUGGCGUGCACCGGCUUAGUUGCUCCUCGGCAUGUGGGAUCUUCCUAGAUCAGGACUCGAACCCGUGUCGCCUGCAUUGGCAGGUGGAUUCUUAGCCACUGCGCCACCAGGGAAGCCCCCCAGCCUCCCCACUUAACUGGUACUUUGGCCGAGUGACUUUACUCCCCUGUGUCUUGGUUUCAUCAUCUGUACACCAGGGAUGACAAUAAUAGACUCGUAACUCCGAGGGUUAUGGGGAUUUAAUGAAUAUUGCUAAAGUAAGCUGAGCUACAUGAGUAUUUGUUAAAUAAAUAAAAGCUGUUUACUGUUGUGGAACAAUCAGUGCAAACUGGGCAUGUGAGCCUGGGAUGUGGUACAGCUGGACUCAGCCGUUCUUCUCUGGAGGCCAUAGAGCAAGAACUGUGUCCUUUUAAAGUCACAGCUGUUGUGAAAAGAUGCUGAAAAGGGGCACUGGCCAAUUGCAGGACAGUAGCUAGGCCUCAAAAUCAAGGCCUCCCAGGAAGGAUGACUUGGAACAGUUUAGCCUGCAGAUGAGAGGGCAAGUAUGGUGGUGCUCAAUGUACAUAGAUAAAGGCAGGCAUAAAAAUGGUUCUUAUUUUGAGGAUAAAAGUGGGGACAGGAGUUGGACGUUUCAGUGGGGACAGCUUCUGACCCAUUAUCAGGAAGACAUUGCCCCACCAAGGCUGGCUGACCCUUCUUGUCCGGGGUGCUGUAGGGUACUUCUCAAUUAAGGUAGAGAGUUAGAUGAGAUGAAACAUACAAGGGCUCUCCCAUAUCGAAUACUCCUGGACUCUAAUAUUUCUGUUGGCUUUGAGAUUUGACUGCUGAUACGUGUGGUAGGAACGAAGCCAUUGCUUUUAAAGUUCCAAAAUUUGAAGCUUGCCAAGAACUCUCUAAGAGUGUCUGCCCAGAUUUCCUGGGCCACCUCCUGAUGGAUUGCUCAGCGGCCUGUCUUUACUCUAAACCUCCCCCACCUCCAUGGAUUAUGAAACACGGGUUGGUGGUGACAGCCCCUGGCAAGGUCAUAGAAAGGCAAUUUAUCUGAGUGCUGUCAUUGCUCAAGAACUUGAAGACAGACCUCCAGACCCUCUUGAUAUCGGCACUGGUUGCCUUCAAAACUUCCAAAGGGCCAUCCAGACUUGACCCCUAGUUUGCCCAGAAUGCAAUGGCAUCUGGAUUUCAUUUCGAUGGCUUGACAGUCUAUGAAGUCAUUUCCAAGAGGGGCCUUCUUAUCUGCCUCAACCAAAACAAGCAUGUUCAGUCCUGGUUCUGAGGUAAUUAAAGUUCAUUAGGCUUUGGAAGUACAUUACAGCAUGACCUGUUAUACAUGAAUUCAGAUCGGCCAUGGUUCAAAUCAAGCUCUCUCUCCCCACCACCAUCUACGUGGCCAACCAUGGAACAGACUGGAAGCAAACUCCCUGGAGGCAAUAAACAGUGCCUACGUGACCCCUUAUCUGGGGAAUAGUUACAGAGGGGAUUCGCAAAUCUCAAUAGAACAGGGGCUGCAAACUCAAAUGCCUUCAGGACCUGGGGAGGCAAUAGGAAGGAGGCAAUUUGGCCAGCUGUGGACAGGCAAAUGUGUGACAAUCGCUGUGUAGUUCAGCCAAGUGUCGCACGCCGGAAGGGAAGAUCAGUAUUACCAGAUUGUCUGAUUUUUCUAAGAGAAUGUGGAAUCCUGGAUUUGCAUGUAAAAAUAGUUUUCUAAUGUUGGCAACUAAUUUGAAUACCAGUUUGGAAUUUUGUUUUUUUGGAAUAUCAGUUUGUCCUUGGAAUGCCAAUUUGUUUUGGAAUGCCAUAUUGUCAUUUUUGCACGUAGAAAGUUACUCUGUGCUGAGGACCUGUGACAGGAGUUUGCACAGCUGACCACAGUCUGAAGAAGACCACACCCCUGUUCGAAGAAGAAUCUAUUAGCCUCAGAUCAGAGCCUGCAAGUACCUUCAAGUUAAUCCAGUCCGACUACUUACAGCCUGCUGUAGAGACAGGAGCACUGGCCAGAGAGUGGAGAGCCCGGGUUCUGGUCCCAGCCCUGUCACUGAUUCCCUUUGUGACCUUGGGAAAGUCUCUGUCCUUCUCUGGCCUCGGUUCCCCCUUCUGGAAUUGGCCCAGAAUAUCUCAGGUCCCUGCCAACUCAGAUGGUCUAGAACUCUGCCUGAGAGGAACCCCAAAUUGAGAAUCCUCAAAAACAGGGCUUGUUCUUAAUUUGGGGUGAAAUGGCUAUUUUCAGGACCGGUUGUGCAUCUUUGGAACCAGUAGUUCCAGAGCUAAGAAAAGAAUUUACCGGAAAGGAGGCUUUGCCAGCAGCUUCUGGAGUUUUUGUGCCAAGAUCUUAGGGCUGAUGGAGGUGAUCAGUUAGCAUUCAUCAAGUGCCAAUGGUGAAGGUGUUUCUUAAGCACCCCCUGGUGAUAGGCACUAUGGAUGCAGCUAGCAAAACCAGAAACAAUCCCUGUCCUCAUGGCACUUAGAGUCUUGGGGGGAGACAGACAGCGACCAAUCAGAAGCAUCUGUGGGAACUACAGAGUGAGAUGGCAGAGGCAUGUGAUGAGAGCAGACUGGAUCUCUGGGUCACUUCUUGGAGGAGAACUGUCCUGAGAAUUGCCUGACUUCACUGGACUUUGUGUGACUGACAAAUAAACCUUUGUUGAACCAA